ACGCAAACUAAGAGCUCGGCGCCCAGUAACCGGUGGACCAAAGGCCCCUGUUCACUAUUCGAUAUGGAUUUAGGGUCGCCUAUACUCUAUUCAACUUCCAGGCAGCGCAGCCGGAAGGAACGGCGACGCUGGUGAAGACGCGUCGGUCGCGCAAUCUGCUGCGGCACCCGUUCCGCGUGAACACCACAUGACGGCGGUCGUGUCGUCCAACAACAGUUGAGGCUUGAGGCAGCAUGGUGUCCAUCGCGCCGCAUUCCUCGACUAGCAGCACCAACCUUUGGCCCAAGAAGUCCUACUGGGAGGUGAUCGAGCACUUCAAAGCCUCCUCCGGCCUCAUCGCCUCUUCGCUCAAGAACCACAACAACAAAAUGAAGAAGAAGUUAAAUAAUGUUCUCCAACAUUGUCAACGCCACACAGAGAGAGCAGCUGGGCAGCUUCCUCGCUCAGCUCUCAAAGUAUAGGGACACAGCAGCUAUAGCUAAACUCUGACGCAGUAUACUAACAAUAAAUAAGCAUCAAGUAAAAAGGAAAACAAA